UUCUCAAUGUUCUCUUUUAUGUUCAUGUUCCUGCUUCAUAGUGUACACCAAAUGAGUAAAUGUAGGCUGAUUUGAUUGGCUUAUGGUCAGAAACAUGCUCAUCAGUCUGAAGAAAUUAAAACACUGAAAACUGAAACAAAACAAAAAAACGGUUAACGCUAUUGUGACAAUUAGGUCAAAAUCCUAAAUUCAGGUUUGCUGCAAAAACACAAAAUCUUACCAAGUAUUUUUGUCUGCUUUCUGGUGCAAAUAUCUUAAAAUAAGACAAAACUAACUAACAAGUAACCUCUCAGCAAGAUAUGGGAGCUUUUAUUAAGUCAAUAAUUUCUUAAUAUUAAAUUAGAAAGCACU